UGGUGGAGUGAUUUGUCUGGUUAAUUCCGUUAACGAACGAGACCUCGACCUGCUAAAUAGUUCGACAAAGGAUUUUUUCUUUGGACGUGACUUCUUAGAGGGACUAUCGGUGUGUAGCCGACGGAAGUUCGAGGCAAUAACA
rnacentral:rRNA from 1 species